AUCCCUGUAGCACAAUGGAUAACGCGUUGGGCUUUUAAUCCAAAGGUCGUGGGUUCAAAUCCCACCUGGAAUG
rnacentral:tRNA from 1 species